UUGACGCUGAGACACGAAAGCCAGGGGAGCAAACGGGAUUAGAUACCCCGGUAGUCCUGGCCCUAAACGAUGUCCACUAGAUCGCGGUGCCUCUGAAGGCGUCUCGGUCGUAGCAAAAGUGCUAAGUGGACCGCCUGGGAAGUACGGUCGCAAGGCUAAAACUCAAAGGAAUUGACGGGGGCUCACACAAGCGGUGGAGCAUGUGGUUCAAUUCGAAGCAACGCGCAGAACCUUACCUGGGCUUGACAUGCUUGGAUUAUCCCUGUGAAAGCAGGGUACACCCCGCAAGGGGCGGAACAAGUACAGGUGCUGCAUGGCUGUCGUCAGCUCGUGUCGUGAGAUGUCGGGUUAAGUCCCUUAACGAGCGCAACCUUUGCAUUUAGUUGCCAUCGGGUAAUGCCGAGCACUCUAGAUGGACUGCCGGUGUCAAACCGGAGGAAGGUGGAGAUGACGUCAAGUCCUCAUGGCCUUUAUGCCCAGGGCCACACACGUGCUACAAUGGCUGGCACAAAGCGAACCGAACCCGCAAGGGAGAGGAAACCGCAGAAAUCCAGCCCCAGUUCAGAUCGGAGGCUGCAACUCGCCUCCGUGAAGUUGGAAUCGCUAGUAAUCGCGGAUCAGCUACGCCGCGGUGUAUGUGUUCCUGAGCCUUGUACACACCGCCCGUCAAGUCAUGGGAGCCGGGAAUGGCCGAAGUCGCUACAUCACAGUGGUGCCUAAGCCAGGCUCGGUGACUGGGACUAAGUCGUAACAAGAUAGCCGUA
rnacentral:rRNA from 1 species